rnacentral:rRNA from 1 species
GACGAACCGUGCGAACGUUGUUCGGAUUUACUGGGCGUAAAGCGCACGUAGGCGGAUCUUUAAGUCAGAGGUGAAAUCCCAAGGCUCAACCUUGGAACUGCCUUUGAUACUGGGGAUCUUGAGUCCGGGAGAGGUGAGUGGAACUGCGAGUGUAGAGGUGAAAUUCGUAGAUAUUCGCAAGAACACCAGUGGCGAAGGCGGCUCACUGGCCCGGUACUGACGCUGAGGUGCGAAAGCGUGGGGAGCAAACAGG